rnacentral:rRNA from 1 species
AGGAUGAACGCUGGCGGCGUGCCUAACACAUGCAAGUCGAACGUCCUGUCUCGCAAGAGGCAGGGAGUGGCGGACGGGUGAGUACCACGUGGGUCAUCUACCGUGAGGUGAGGAAUACCGGCGAGAAAUCGCCGACAAGACCGCAUAGGCUCGAUGCAAGUCGAGCAAAGCUCUUUCGAGAGAGGGAGCGCCACACGAGGAGCCUGCGCCCGAUUAGCUAGCUGGUGGAGUAACGGUUCACCAGGGCGACGAUCGGUAGCUGGUCUGAGAGGACGAUCAGCCACACUGGGAUUGAGAACGGCCCAGACUCCUACGGGGGGCAGCAGUGAGGAAUUUCGUCAAUGGGGGCAACCCUGAACGAGCAACGCCGCGUGCAGGAAGAAGGUUUCGGAUCGUAAACUGCUUUUCUCGGGGAAGAGAACGGACGGUACCCGAGGAAUCAGCCCCGGCUAACUACGCGCCAGCAGCCGCGGU